AACGAACGCUGGCGGCAGGCCUAACACAUGCAAGUCGAACGCCGUAGCAAUACGGAGUGGCAGACGGGUGAGUAACGCGUGGGAACCUACCUUACGGUCGGGAAUAGCCCAGGGAAACUUGGGGUAAUACCGGAUACGCCCUUACGGGGAAAGAUUUAUCGCCCAAGGAUGAGCCCGCGUAGGAUUAGCUAGUUGGUGAGGUAAAGGCUCACCAAGGCGACGAUCCUUAGCUGGCUGAGAGGAUGAUCAGCCACACUGGGACUGAGACACGGCCCAGACUCCUACGGGAGGCAGC
rnacentral:rRNA from 1 species